rnacentral:rRNA from 1 species
AGAGUUGAUCCUGGCUUAGGACGAACGCUGGCGGCGUGCCUAACACAUGCAAGUCGAGCGGGGACAUUGCGACGGAGACGAAGUACUCGUACGGAGUCAAAGAUGUAAUGUUCUAGCGGCGGACGGGUGAGUAACGCGUGAGCAACCUGUCCUUACAGGGGGAUAACACAGCGAAAGUUGUACUAAUACCGCAUAAGACCACAGGAUGACAUCGUCCAGGGGUCAAAGGAGCAAUCCGGUAAGGGGUGGGCUCGCGUCCGAUUAGAUAGUUGGUGAGGUAACGGCCCACCAAGUCGACGAUCGGUAGCCGACCUGAGAGGGUGAUCGGCCACAUUGGGACUGAGACACGGCCCAAACUCCUACGGGAGGCAGCAGUGGGGAAUAUUGGGCAAUGGGGGGAAACCCUGACCCAGCAACGCCGCGUGAGGGAAGAAGGUUUUCGGAUCGUAAACCUCUGUCCCAGGUGAAGAGGAAGAGACGGUAGCCUGGGAGGAAGCCCCGGCUAACUACGUGCCAGCCGCCGC